UACGGGGGGAGCAAGCGUUGUUCGGAUUUACUGGGCGUAAAGGGCGCGUAGGCGGUCAGCACAAGUCAGUUGUGAAAUCUCCGGGCUUAACUCGGAACGGUCAAGUGAUACUGUCGGACUAGAGUACAGAAGGGGCAACUGGAAUUCUCGGUGUAGCGGUGAAAUGCGUAGAUAUCGAGAGGAACACCUGCGGCGAAGGCGGGUUGCUGGGCUGAUACUGACGCUGAGGCGCGAAAGCGUGGGUAGCAAACAGG
rnacentral:rRNA from 1 species